rnacentral:rRNA from 1 species
CCUACGGGUGGCAGCAGUGAGGAAUAUUGGUCAAUGGUCGGGAGACUGAACCAGCCAAGCCGCGUGAGGGAGGAAGGUACAGAGUAUCGUAAACCUCUUUUGUCAGGGAACAAAGACUGGGACGCGUCCCCGGAUGAGUGUACCUGAAGAAAAAGCAUCGGCUAACUCCGUGCCAGCAGCCGCGGUAAUACGGAGGAUGCGAGCGUUAUCCGGAUUUACUGGGUGUAAAGGGAGCGUAGACGGCUGUGCAAGUCUGAUGUGAAAGCCCAGGGCUCAACCCUGGGACUGCUUUGGAUACGGGGGGUCGAGAGUGCUGGAGAGGUAAGUGGAAUUCGUGGUGUAGCGGUGAAAGGCGUAGAUAUUAGGAGGAACACCAGUGGCGAAGGCGGCUUACUGGACAGUAACUGACGUUGAGGCUCGAAAGCGUGGGGAGCAAACAGGAUUAGAUACCCUUGUAGUC